AAUUAAGCAUGGAGACGGGAGGUUAAAAGAUCAUUUAAGAGUUUAAAAUGUUUAAAACAUUUAUGACAUACCAUAUACUAAUGCAUGACAGAUAGAUAUGUUGUAGAGAUAAGCCAUAUGUUAAGAAAUACGCAAGAAGAGAGAGGAGGAAAGGCAGCAGCAGAGGAUGAGAGAAGAAUGGAGUUUGAUGCUGGAGCGUCAUCAUUGCCUAGUGACUCUCCUAGCAACAGGAAACAUCUGUUUCAGCGUCGACCAAUCAGGAACCGGUGCAGGAUUGCUCGCUGCACAGAAAGGGGAUAUUUUAAGAGCCGAGAGUGAGCCGAAUACUACAGGGAUUAUAUCAAAAGCAAGACUUCGACAUCUGGGGGCGAAGCGUCAAGCUCACGCGGAGCUGAAACCGGCUACAUUCGGCACAGUAUGAGCUGUUUUGAGCCUCUGGUUUGAUGAAUAAUGCGCGUGCGGGGAUUGCUAAUGUGGCUUUAGAAAUAAGGAACCAUUAGGCAAUGUGUGUGAGCCAGAGGAAAGCGUCUCAGGUGAAUAGAGGAUUUGUCAGAGAGGUGUGUGAUUGUGUCUGCUUGAAGCAGUUCUCAGGGUCUUUCCUCUAAGAGUGCCCUCAACAGUCAACAACGUCGAAAGUCGCCUAUUUUAAGCGAAAAUAUGCGGAAGAGGAGGAUGUUCAGGGAAGCCUACAUGGAUAUUUACAAAAACACCUGAUCCUUCGUGAGGAGCGCAGCUGCAUCCUGCGCCUGUCUCUGCAGAAGCUGCGUUUCCUAGACGACCCUGAGGCUUACCUUCACCGCUCUGUGCUCAUCAACAACCUGCUACGCAAGAUCCACCUGGACGAAGCCCAGAGGGAGAGAGAGAGACAGAGAGAUGACAAGGAAGAGGGAGAGGAGACAGAGUGGAGGCGGAAGAGACUGAAGGUUGUGCUCAAGGAGUUCCAGCAGUACAAGCUGCUGCCGUAUUCAUCCUCCCCAGCCUCAUGCAUCUGUGGCCUGGGCAGCUGCCACACCCUGCCUCCUGAUCAUGGAGCUUCAAUGCUACUCUACCAUUUGGAUGAUAAAGGAUAAGAUGUCAUCGCGCACAUGCAGGGGAUUUUUCCAACUGUCUACGACUGAUUUCCAGGAGCCAGCAUUAAGGAAGAAGGGGAUUCGGGUUUGUGUGCAUUUGUGCUUGUGCUGGUGAGCGUGAGCGCUGCGGUUUGUGAUGUGACAGGUGUUAUACAUAUCAGGGUGUGUUUUUCCAACCGGAAAAAGAUAUCAUCCUGUUAUCACUGCCUCACUCUGUUGAUAUGAACUUUGACCACAGACAUUUUGUUUUCAUAAAUUUGCUUGAGUGAGCUAUAAUCUUAAGCAUUGUUUUCAGGGAUAAAAAAGGCAAACAAAAAGCCAUGCACCUUGUGGUUGUUAUAUUAUGUUGUUAGAAAAAAAAAAGAGACGAAAAUAAAAAUUUAAAGUGUCAAAGUCCCAGCUGCUCUUAAGGAUAGAGUGAUUUUACUUAAGCUUUGUUGCUGUGAAAUUGACUUUUUUGUGUAAGUGGCUACUGGUGUCGAACUAGUAAUGAUUUUUUAAAAGACAUUUCCUUACCUUUAACAAAAUAAAUAAAACAAAAUAGGAAAAUGUAUGAGGGCGAAUGAGCAGUGAAAAUAAUAUUUCUUUCAAGGCCUUCUGGCUUUUGGUUUAAACAGGGUCUCGCUCUCUGCAAAAAAAGGCACAAAUCUGUCACCAUAUCAGGCAGUCCAUUUCAAAAUGUACUAAUAUGUACUUUUUAAGCACUAAUAUGCACAUUUAAGAUACUAAUAUGUACCAGCCCAAUGAUAGUUUUGUACCUUUUUUUCUGGGAGUGUAGUGACAUGCAGCCUUCACAUUGUAAAAACAAUUUACUGCAUUUGCUACUUGUGUUUCAUUUCAUACAGCCUCAUUCAAGGCUUUUGGCAGAAACUGUUAUGUUAAGGUAACUCUGCCAUCUAGUGUCAUGGCUAUGAAUUAUCAGCUACAUAGAUCUCUUUGAUUUAUUCAUGCUAUCAACUGCACUACCUACAGUUUAUAAUGCUGUUUUACACUCAUUUGACCUUUUUAACAAAUUUAGGUUUUCUGGCCAGUAUACUGAGUUUCCAAUGCCUCCUUUUACACACACACACACACACACACACACACACACACACACACACACACACACACACACACACACACAUUUCUAGCUCUCUAAUCUUUGGAUCUGAAAACCCUAUGUGGGUGUCAGAAUAUCAGAACAAUUGUCUAGAUUCACUGCACAGACCCACGGUUUAACUAACAGGGAAAACAAGGUACACAUGCGCAAUGUAGUGUAAAUUACGCCGUUCUCUCUUAUACAGAACCUCAGACGAUCCUCUUCUUGUCUCAUAUUGCUGUACAUCUCACAUAUUUUGGUUACAUAAAGUUUUCUAACAGGUAAAGUUGUGCAAAAAUAUUUUGGUACGGUUAAUAAUGACUGGUACUCUUACUAUUAAUAUUUUGUGUGUUUGUUUAUGCACAUUUGUAUGUGAAUUGCAAUUUUUCAAUAUCUGAAUGUAAUUUACUGAAAUCUAAAUUCAGAGUGCUAUCUUUUGGACAUUUCAAAUCAUAGACAUAGAUAUCCAGUUUAUUUUGAAAUGGAAUUAUUUUUGUUUCAAAGAGAACACUAUUGCUCAGAGAAUCUAGUGCUAUUUUGCCAAAAGAUUUAAAAGUAGCAUAUGAGAAUUGUCUAUUUUCAUGGCACUGUAGUCAAAUAAAAUAUAAUAUUGAAUGUUUCACGAAGUCCUUUCUAUUUAUCUGUGUAAACUAAAUAUAUGCACGUAAAAACUGUAUCAGUAUUGGCCUUUUCCUCCAGCAUGUGCGGCCGCUCCCGAGUCACAGUGAUGGCGGAAGGUCGGGCAUACACUUGCGUUGAGUCGGGCCGAAUUUCAGUUUUAUAGUGCAGUGUACAGGUGAACGAGGGGUGAUUAGCUGCUCCCGAGCUGCAAUCGGAUGGUCGGAUGAAUUUCUGACAUGUCAGAAAUAAAAUAUUGCUAAACGUUUCUUUGACAAAAGUGGUCUUACUCCAGGGGGUGCUUUGUGGCACUAGA